rnacentral:rRNA from 1 species
UACGUAGGGCGCAAGCGUUAUCCGGAAUUAUUGGGCGUAAAGAGCUCGUAGGCGGUUUGUCGCGUCUGCCGUGAAAGUCCGGGGCUCAACCCCGGGCCUGCAUUCGAUACGGGCAGACUAGAGUUCGGUAGGGGAGUCUGGAAUUCCUGGUGUAGCGGUGAAAUGCGCAGAUAUCAGGAGGAACACCGGUGGCGAAGGCGGGACUCUGGGCCGAUACUGACGCUGAGGAACGAAAGCGUGGGGAGCGAACAGG